CGAGAAAGCCCGCAAGGGUGAGUACAGCGGCGCACGGGUGCGUAACACGUGAGUAAUCUGCCCUGGAGCCCGGAAUAACCUCCCGAAAGGGAAGCUAAUGCCGGAUGAGCCCACGGGGUCCUUGGACUCUGAGGGAAAAGGCGGCCUCUGUAUACAAGCUGUCACUUCAGGAUGAGCUCGCGGCCCAUCAGCUAGUUGGCGGGGUAAUGGCCCACCAAGGCUACGACGGGUAGCUGGUCUGAGAGGACGAUCAGCCACACUGGAACUGAGACACGGUCCAGACUCCUACGGGAGGCAGCAGUGGGGAAUCUUGCGCAAUGGGCGAAAGCCUGACGCAGCAACGCCGCGUGUGUGAUUAAGGUCUUCGGAU
rnacentral:rRNA from 1 species